rnacentral:rRNA from 1 species
GAGUUUGAUCAUGGCUCAGAGUGAACGCUGGCGGCAGGCCUAAUACAUGCAAGUCGAACGGCAGCACAGCAGAGCUUGCUCUGUGGGUGGCGAGUGGCGGACGGGUGAGGAAUACGUGGGAAUCUGCCCAGUCGUGGGGGAUAACGUAGGGAAACUUACGCUAAUACCGCAUGCGCCCUUCGGGGGAAAGCCGGGGACCUUCGGGCCUGGCGCGAUUGGAUGAGCCCACGUCGGAUUAGCUAGUUGGCGGGUAAAGGCCCACCAAGGCGACGAUCCGUAGCUGGUCUGAGAGGAUGAUCAGCCACACUGGAACUGAGACACGGUCCAGACUCCUACGGGAGGCAGCAGUAGGGAAUAUUGGACAAUGGGCGCAAGCCUGAUCCAGCCAUGCCGCGUGAGUGAAGAAGGCCCUCGGGUUGUAAAGCUCUUUUGUCCGGAAAGAAAAGCGCCGGGUUAAUACCCUGGUGUCCUGACGGUACCGGAAGAAUAAGCACCGGCUAACUUCGUG